CCCUCACUGACAAUGGUACUUUCUACAUUCUGGGACAGAGUUCCUGUGCGUAGGUGAAGGGACUUCAGGAAUCUUUCCUCAGUCACUACUUCUUCCCCUCCCCCUCCACCGCCCAACCCCUAUCCAGAAGGACAGCAGAGUGACUUCUCUAAUACGGAGUCUGGGAGAAGAAAUGAGCCUAAUGGCUCAGUCACUGUCAUUUCAAACAAGCCAGGCCACAGAGGGAUGUGUUCUGGUCUGUCUCCGCAUGAGGUCUACUGUACAGACAAGGAAACUGAAGCCCGGAGAGAUUAUGGGGCUCAUCUAAAGCGCCACAACUGGAAAACAAUGACUCUGUCAAACUUUGGAGCCCACCUUCUCAAUCACCCAUGAAGUGACGCUGCCCUUUGUAAUUUACAGUGUUGUUACUUUCCAUCUCCUCACCUGAUUCUGCCAACAACAUGGAGGGUUAGGCAUUAGUAUACCCACAUUAUAGACGAAGAAACUGAGGCAUAGCUUCUUAAGUAUCCUGCCCAAGGUUGUUCGCGGGAAACAGGCAGUGAAAAUGGGACAUGAAGCCAAACUUGUAACUUCGAAACACUCAUCACUAUUUUCAGAAUGCUGCUAGCUUCUG